rnacentral:rRNA from 1 species
AGGGGGUAUAUAGUGCUUGCACUAUAGAGACCGGCGCACGGGGUGCGUAACGCGUAUGCAAUCUACCCUUAUACAGGGGGAAUAGCCCAGGGGAAAACUUGGAUUAAUGCCCCAUAGUAUCAUUAAGUAGCAUUACUUGAUGAUUAAAGAUUUAUCGGUAUAAGAUGAGGCAUGCGUCCCAUUAGGUUAGUUGGUAAGGUAACGGCUUACCAAGACAGCGAUGGGUAGGGGCCCCUGAGAGGGGGAUCCCCCACACUGGUACUGAGACACGGACCAGACUCC